AUGAAGAGUUUGAUCCUGGCUCAGGAUGAACGCUAGCGGCAGGCUUAACACAUGCAAGUCGAGGGGUAACAUUGAUUGCUUGCAAUCAGAUGACGACCGGCGCACGGGUGCGUAACGCGUAUACAAUCUACCUUAUACUAGAGGAUAGCCCUAAGAAAUUGGGAUUAAUACUCCAUAGUAUUAUGAUAUCACCUGAUAUUAUAAUUAAAGCUUCGGCGGUAUAAGAUGAGUAUGCGUCCUAUUAGUUAGUUGGUAAGGUAACGGCUUACCAAGACAGCGAUAGGUAGGGGGCCUGAGAGGGUUAUCCCCCACACUGGUACUGAGACACGGACCAGACUCCUACGGGAGGCAGCAGUGAGGAAUAUUGGACAAUGGAGGCAACUCUGAUCCAGCCAUGCCGCGUGCAGGAAGACGGCCCUAUGGGUUGUAAACUGCUUUUAUACAGGAAGAAACCUCCCCACGUGUGGGGAGCUGACGGUACUGUAAGAAUAAGGACCGGCUAACUCCGUGCCAGCAGCCGCGGUAAUACGGAGGGUCCAAGCGUUAUCCGGAAUCAUUGGGUUUAAAGGGUCCGUAGGCGGACUAUUAAGUCAGAGGUGAAAUCCCACAGCUUAACUGUGGAACUGCCUUUGAUACUGGUAGUCUGGAGUUAUAGGGAAGUAGUUAGAAUAUGUAGUGUAGCGGUGAAAUGCAUAGAUAUUACAUAGAAUACCAAUUGCGAAGGCAGAUUACUAAUAAUAUACUGACACUGAUGGACGAAAGCGUGGGGAGCGAACAGGAUUAGAUACCCUGGUAGUCCAUGCCGUAAACGAUGGUCACUAGCUGUUCGGUUGGACUUCGGUCUGAGUGGCUAAGCGAAAGUGAUAAGUGACCCACCUGGGGAGUACGUUCGCAAGAAUGAAACUCAAAGGAAUUGACGGGGGCCCGCACAAGCGGUGGAGCAUGUGGUUUAAUUCGAUGAUACGCGAGGAACCUUACCAGGGCUUAAAUGUAGAUUGACAGGACUAGAAACACAUCCUUCUUCGGACACGUUACAAGGUGCUGCAUGGUUGUCGUCAGCUCGUGCCGUGAGGUGUCAGGUUAAGUCCUAUAACGAGCGCAACCCCUAUUCUUAGUUGCCAGCGAGUAAUGUCGGGGACUCUAAGAAAACUGCCGGUGCAAACCGAGAGGAAGGCGGGGACGACGUCAAGUCAUCACGGCCCUUACGUCCUGGGCCACACACGUGCUACAAUGGUAGAUACAGAGGGCAGCUACCCCGCGAGGGGAUGCGAAUCUCGAAAGUCUAUCUCAGUUCGGAUUGGAGUCUGCAACUCGACUCUAUGAAGCUGGAAUCGCUAGUAAUCGCGCAUCAGCCAUGGCGCGGUGAAUACGUUCCCGGGCCUUGUACACACCGCCCGUCAAGCCAUGGAAGCUGGGAGUGCCUGAAGUCGGUAACCGUAAGGAGCUGCCUAGGGUAAAACUGGUAACUGGGGCUAAGUCGUAACAAGGUAGCCGUACCGGAAGGUGCGGCUGGAACACCUCCUUU
rnacentral:rRNA from 1 species